rnacentral:lncRNA from 1 species
UUCAAGCUAUUCAAGAGGAUGUGCAUGCAGAAAACUGCAGGAAAAAUGAAUGCUAUCUGGGCAGGUAUCAAUGGUGAGAUCGAGCGCGCAUCCCUCCCGACGAGAGAAGACCGGAGGGGUCGUCAAACAGUAAUAAAUUUGAGCCAGUGGAUCAGUGAGAAUUGUCCCAAUUUGUACGCAGUCUUAGGACACUAGCGCUAGAUACGGUAUAAUGACAAGCAACAUGUCCGAG